rnacentral:rRNA from 1 species
UUCCGAGGUUGAUUCGGGCUCCGGCCCNAUCCUCCCACCCUUUGUGUACCUACCUCUGUUGCUUUGGCGGGCCGCGGUCCCCCGCGGCCGCCCCCCCUCCCCGGGGGGUGGCUAGUGCCCGCCAGAGGACCAUCAAACUCCAGUCAGUGAACGUCGCAGUCUGAAAAAACAUUCAAUAAACUAAAACUUUCAACAACGGAUCUCUUGGUUCUGGCAUCGAUGAAGAACGCAGCGAAAUGCGAUAAGUAAUGUGAAUUGCAGAAUUCAGUGAAUCAUCGAAUCUUUGAACGCACAUUGCGCCCCUUGGUAUUCCGAGGGGCAUGCCUGUUCGAGCGUCAUUACAACCCUCAAGCUCUGCUUGGUAUUGGGCACCGCCCUUCUUCGGGCGCGCCUCAAAGACCUCGGCGGUGGCUGUCUUGCCUCAAGCGUAGUAGAAUACACCUCGCUUCGGAGCGCAGGGCGUCGCCCGCCGGACGAACCUUCUGAACUUUUCUCAAGGUUGACCUCGGAU